rnacentral:rRNA from 1 species
CCCGCUGAACUUAAGCAUAUCAAUAAGCGGAGGAAAAGAAACUAACAAGGAUUCCCCUAGUAACUGCGAGUGAAGCGGGAAAAGCUCAAAUUUGAAAUCUGGCGUCUCCGGCGUCCGAGUUGUAUUCUGGAGAAGCGUUUUCCGUGCUGGACCGUGUACAAGUCCCUUGGAACAGGGCGUCAUAGAGGGUGAGAAUCCCGUCUUUGACACGGACUGCCAGUGCUCUGCGAUGCGCUCUCGAAGAGUCGAGUUGUUUGGGAAUGCAGCUCAAAACGGGUGGUAAAUUCCAUCUAAAGCUAAAUAUUGGCGAGAGACCGAUAGCGAACAAGUACCGUGAGGGAAAGAUGAAAAGCACUUUGGAAAGAGAGUGAAACAGUACGUGAAAUUGUUGAAAGGGAAACGCUUGUAGUCAGUCGCGUUGCCCAGAAAUCAACCUUGCUUUUGCUUGGUGUACUUUCUGGUUAACGGGUCAGCAUCAAUUUUGACCGGUGGAUAAAGGUCAGGGGAAUGUGGCAUCUUCGGAUGUGUCAUAGCCCUUGGUUGCAUACAUCGAUUGGGAUUGAGGAACUCAGCAUGCCGCAAGGCCGGGUUUUUAACCACGUACAUGCUUAGGAUGCUGGCAUAAUGGCUUUAAUCGACCCGUCUUGAAACACGG